rnacentral:rRNA from 1 species
AACGAACGCUGGCGGCAGGCCUAACACAUGCAAGUCGAGCGCCCCCUUUCAGAGGUCAGAAGACAGAUAUCGGAUGUCAGAAGCGCUGUGCGUGAUCCACGCGCAGAGUGUUUCUGACAUCUGACAUCCGACAUCUGACCUCUGAGUGGGGGAGCGGCGGACGGGUGAGUAACGCGUGGGAAUUUUCCUCAAGGUACGGAACAACUCAGGGAAACUUGGGCUAAUACCGUAUGAUGCAGAGAUGCCAAAGAUUUAUCGCCUUGGGAUAAGCCCGCGUCAGAUUAGGUAGUUGGUGGGGUAGCGGCCUACCAAGCCUGCGA